AAACACUUAAAGCACAAUGUUAGUGUAGCGGAGUGGGACUUUUUCUCUUUAACUCCCCCUGGUGGUAAACUGGAAUAAUCUGUCUUUGUGAUGAGCGGUGUUAAGUAACCGGCUGGUUAAUCAUUACCAUGAUUGCGCUUCUAAUAAAAGCAGAACGCACAAAUGGCUGGGGGUGUGUAUAGCCAUUUCUGGUUACCUCUGGCUUGUUUCGUUGGCUUUCUCUGGUGGAGUCGUGUGGUUCAGGUCAUUUUAUUUUCCCUCCGUUUACUCUCAGCCAUUAAAUACAGCCCAAAGUUCAGCAAGAGUAUAUUGCAGUGUGCAGUCAUUUUGUAUACAGUAUGGUGAUGCUGUUGAGGGGACGUGCCUAACGGCCUGUUUCCAGUUCUUAAUCGGAGGGAUACACAGACCUGGACAAUGCUGCUGUUUUGUCUUCAUAGUAAAUUUGUUUUUGUUUGUUUUUUGUUUUUUUUCGUCCAGUGUGGAUUUCUUUUCUUUUCUUUUCUUAUACCAUUUGUAUUUUGUUGAUUAAAUUUGAGCCCAGAGAUUUGCUGGUGAACAAUUGCACAAACCUUUACCAGCAGUUCUAUAUGGUAAUUGCCCCAAGUAUCUUUUAUAUUGGGUGUUUUUUUUUUCAAUUGGGAUUUAUAACUUUUGUAGUACUGUGGGUCUCCCCGAGGACGCUGGUAAAGAGGGUACUUUGCCCACCCAUCUUUUUAGUGGAGUGUUAAACACGCUGGAGUGUGAAUUUUAUAAUGUCUUUUGGUGUGGAGCACUAGUGUGGUUGCAGUGAUUGCUCAUUGGGUGGGCUAGAGGAUUCUUUCUUUUCUGUCAGUGUCCUUGGCAAUCCGGGUUCCCCCUGCAGUUUUGAUAUCUAUUUUUUUAAUUUUUUCCCUUAUUGAUUUACAAUACCUUCUAUGUGGAAUAUAUAUGUGGGUAAUUAAGAGGUAACUGUUUGGAAGGUAUUUAUCAGUGAAUUGUUUUUAAGAACAUAGAAUAAAAAUAGGUUUUAAUUGACA
ensembl:lncRNA